rnacentral:rRNA from 1 species
UACGGGGGGGGCAAGCGUUGUUCGGAAUCACUGGGCGUAAAGGGUGCGUAGGCGGGUCUUUAAGUCUGACGGGGAAAUGCCGGGGCUCAACCCCGUGCCCGCCGCGGAUACUGGAGGGCUGGAGACACGUAGAGGCAAGCGGAAUUCCGGGUGUAGCGGUGGAAUGCGUAGAGAUCCGGAGGAACACCGAAGGCGAAGGCAGUGUCCUGGGGAGUACCUGACGCUCAGGUGCGAAAGCCAGGGGAGCGAACGGG